rnacentral:rRNA from 1 species
UACGUAGGGGGGCAAGCGUUGUCCGGAUUUAUUGGGCGUAAAGAGCGUGUAGGCGGCCAGGUAGGUCCGUUGUGAAAACUAGAGGCUUACCUCUAGACGUCGAUGGAAACCAUCUGGCUAGAGUCCGGAAGAGGAGAGUGGAAUUUCCUGGUGUAGCGGUGAAAAUGCGCAGAUAUCAGGAAGAACACCCCGUGGCGGAAGGCGGCUCUCUGGGACGGUACUGACGCUGAGACGCGAAAGCGUGGGGAGCGAACAGGG